rnacentral:rRNA from 1 species
AUUGAACGCUGGCGGCAUGCUUUACACAUGCAAGUCGAACGGCAGCGCGGGCUUCGGCCUGGCGGCGAGUGGCGAACGGUUGAGUAAUACAUCGGAACUUGCCCUGUAGUGGGGGAUAGCUCGGCGAUAGCCGGAUUAAUACCGCAUACGACCUGAGGGUGAAAUCGGGGGAUCUUCGGACCUCGCGCUAUUUUAGCGGCCUAUGGCAGAUUCGCUAGUUGGUGGGGUAAAUGCCUAACAAGGCGACGAUCUGUAGCUGGUCUGAGAGGACGACCAGCCACAUUGGGACAGAGACACAGCAGAGACACCGGCAGGAAGCAGCAGUGGGGAAUUUUGGAGAAUGGGGGAGAGCGUGAUACAGGAAUGUCGGGUAAGGGAUGAAGGAGUAAUGGUUGGAAAGCAAUUAAGGCGGGAAGGAAAAGGAGUGUGCUUACACCGCAUGUUGAUGACAGUACCGGCAGAAUAAGCUCCGGCUAACUCCGUG